rnacentral:rRNA from 1 species
UACGUAGGGUGCAAGCGUUAAUCGGAAUUACUGGGCGUAAAGCGUGCGCAGGCGGUUCGCUAAGACAGAUGUGAAAUCCCCCGGGCUUAACCUGGGAGCUGCAUUUGUGACUGGCGGGCUAGAGUAUGGCAGAGGGGGGGGUAGAAUUCCACGUGUAGCAGUGAAAUGCGUAGAGAUGUGGAGGAAUACCGAUGGCGAAGGCAGCCCCCCUGGGAUAACACUGACGCUCAUGCACGAAAGCGUGGGGAGCAAACAGG